GUUACGAGUACUGACGGGUUGUAGCUGGCCUCUCGGGGCAUGUGCACACCUGGCUCAUCCACUCUUCAACCUCUGUGCACUUGUUGUAGGUCGGCAGAAGGGCGAGCCUUAAAACAGCUCGCUUGGAAGCCUUCCUAUGUUUUAUUACAAACGCUUCAGUUUAAGAAUGUAACCUGCGUAUAACGCAACUAUAUACAACUUUCAGCAACGGAUCUCUUGGCUCUCGCAUCGAUGAAGAACGCAGCGAAAUGCGAUAAGUAAUGUGAAUUGCAGAAUUCAGUGAAUCAUCGAAUCUUUGAACGCACCUUGCGCUCCCUGGUAUUCCGGGGAGCAUGCCUGUUUGAGUGUCAUGGUAUCCUCAUCCUUCAUAACUUUUUGUUAUCGAAGGCAUGGACUUGGAGGUCGUGCUGGUUCCUCGUUGAAUCGGCUCCUCUUAAAUGUAUUAGCGUGAGUGUAACGGAUCGCUUCGGUGUGAUAAUUAUCUGCGCCGUGGUCGUGAAGGAACAUAAGCUUGCGCUUCUAACCGUCCUUAAGUUGGACAACUUACUUUGACAUCUGACCUCAAAUCAGGUAGGACUACCCGCUGAACUUAAGCAUAUCAA
rnacentral:rRNA from 1 species